CGGUACUCGCACGGAUUCUACCAUUUCCCGGUAUUCGCCGGGAUUUUACGAUUUUUCGUUAUUCGCUCGGAUUCUACCAUUUUCAUUUAGUCACACUGAUUCAACCCUUUUCCGGUACUCGCCCGAACAGUUUUUCGGUACUCGCACGGAUUCUACCAUUUCCCGGUAUUCGUUGGGAUUUUACGAUUUUUCGGUAUUCGCCCGGAUUCUACCAUUUUCAUUCAGUCACACUGAUUCAACCCUUUUCCGAUACUCGCCCGGAGAGUUUUUCGGUAUUCGCACGGAUUCUACCAUUUCCCGGUAUUCGCCGGGAUUUUACGAUUUUUCGGUAUUCGCUCGGAUUCUACCAUUGUCAUUUAGUCACACUGAUUGAACCCUUAUCCGGUACUCGCCUGGAGAGUUUUUCGAUACUCGCACGGAUUCUACCAUUUCCCAGUAUUCGGUUGGAUUUUACGAUUUUUCGGUAUUCGCUCGGAUUCUACCAUUUUCAUUUAGUCACACUGAUUCAACCCUUUUUCGGUACUCGCCCGAACAGUUUUUCAGUAGUCGCACGGAUUCUACCAUUUCCUGGUAUUCGUUGGGAUUUUACGAUUUUUCGGUAUUCGCUCGGAUUCUACCAUUGUCAUUUAGUCACACUGAUUGAACCCUUAUCCGGUACUCGCCUGAAGAGUUUUUCGAUACUCGCACGGAUUCUACCAUUU
rnacentral:lncRNA from 1 species